CCUCGGGGGGGGAGGGAGGGGUGACUCGGGGACACCCCAGAAGGCCAAACGUGGUGGCACGCGCAAGGCUGCGGGGCGAGGCCGCACUCCGCUGCCGCAGUGGAAACUUCCGGAACCCCCGCGGGUGGGUUUGCACUGGUUCCCUGACGGGUGACCUGGGACUUUCGUCACCAGGGUCCGGUCGGGGCAUGACAUCACCAGACCAGGCUCUCAUUGGCCGCCGCGGCCAGCAGGUGGGAGCGGCCUGGACCCGGAGCCCCCAGCCUGAUCUGUAGGGCCUGAGCCGCCAGGACCCCCACGACCCACCCUCCAGAGGGUCACCCAUGGGAACAGUGCGGCCGCGGCGGCGUCCCCACGCCCGAGCGACUCUGGGUCGUGACGCGCUCGCCCGUGAGAUGUGAGAGGCACACACCUUCAAGCAGCUCCCAGUGAGCCUGGCAUAGAGAAACCCCCAAUUGUGGCGAAUGGCACUUUGAUCUCUUCCUUCAAAUAUUUGCCCCUGGACUCAAGUCCUUUCCUACACCCACCUCUACCUCCUCCGAGCUUUCUGGACCCCCUUCACUCUUCAGGUCACCGGAACAGAGGCACCAUCUAACUGUGUCACCUUGUGCUGGAGCUGACGUCACCUCCUGGUCUGAAUUCACAUGGGAAAGCCAUUUCUUGACUGAAUGGGACUUCCAUGGAA